rnacentral:rRNA from 1 species
AUUGAACGCUGGCGGCAGGCCUAACACAUGCAAGUCGAACGAGUGGCGGACGGGUGAGUAAUGUCUGGGAAACUGCCUGAUGGAGGGGGAUAACUACUGGAACCGGUAGCUAAUACCGCAUACCAUCGGAUGUGCCCAGAUGGGAUUAGCUAUUAGGUGGGGUAACGGCUCACCUCGGCGACGAUCCCUAGCUGGUCUGAGAGGAGGACCAGCCACCCUGGAACUGAGACACGGUCCAGACUCCUACGGGAGUCAGCAUUGGGGAAUAUUGCAAAAUGGGCGCAAGCCUGAUGCAGCCAUGCCGCUUGUAUGAAGAAGGCCUUCGGGUUGUAAAGUACUUGCAGCGGGGAGGCGUUACCCGCAGAAGAAGCACCGGCUAACUCCGUGCCAGCCGCCGCGGUAAUAC